rnacentral:tmRNA from 1 species
GGGGGCGCACUGGUUUCGACGGGGAUAGAAGAAACCGGAGUUGCAGGUCGAGGCGCCGCUGGCCUCGUUAAAAGCGGCACUAAAGUAAUUGCAAACGAUUACGAAUACGCAAUGGCAGCUUAAUUGACCGCCACAUUCUCUUUGUUGACGUCAGAUAGACUUAGAGAAUGACAAAACACUAUCCGACUAGUUUCAGUAGGCGUUUGCUGCAGCUGAAGCGAAACUUAUACAGCUAACUGGUUUUACGUCGCCUGUUCUGGGGCAAAGCGUAAAACGAGACAAAUUAAUCCAGGACUAAACCUGUAGAUGCUUCGAGUGGACCAUUCUCGGACGCGAGUUCGAUUCUCGCCGCCUCCACCA